rnacentral:misc_RNA from 1 species
GCUGUCUGUUGAUAAAGGAAAAGAAAUAAAGGGGAAAGAAGAGAUUUUGGAGAUCAUUUAAGGAAUUGUUGGAAUAUUUUCAUGCCAUUGGGCUGCAAUGGCGGGCAAAAACUCAGGGGAUAAUAGGACUAGGACUUCUGUAUCAAUAUUUAUAAUAGCUGGUCUAUGCUGCUUCUUCUAUUUACUUGGAGCAUGGCAAAGAAGUGGUUUUGGGAAAGGAGAUAGUAUAGCAGUGGCUGUCACCAAGACUGCUGGUGAGAAUUGCGAUGUACUACCAAAUCUCAAUUUUGAAACUCGUCAUGCUGGCGAAGCAGGUGGUACUGAUGAGUCGGAAGAAGUCGAGGAACUUAAGCCAUGUGAUCCUCAGUACACUGAUUAUACACCAUGUCAAGAUCAAAAGCGUGCUAUGACUUUCCCAAGGGAAAAUAUGAACUACCGAGAAAGGCAUUGUCCACCUCAAGAAGAGAAGUUACAUUGCCUUAUUCCAGCACCUAAGGGGUAUGUCGCCCCAUUUCCAUGGCCAAAGAGUCGGGAUUACGUUCCAUAUGUGAAUGCCCCCUAUAAGAGCUUGACAGUCGAGAAGGCCAUUCAGAACUGGAUUCAGUAUGAAGGUAAUGUGUUUAGGUUCCCUGGAGGAGGGACACAGUUUCCUCAAGGAGCAGAUAAAUA